UUAACUAUUAUAUAGUACUCGGACGACAGUGACAAUCGGGGUUUGGGGUCCUCUGGCGGGCGCGAACCGGCCGUCGCCGGUGCCUUGCGGCGGCCCGCCAAAGCAAUGGGUACGAUAAACACAGGGUGGGAGGUCUACCCGUGGGGGCAGGGACUCUAUAAUGAUCCUUCCGCAGGUUCACCUACGGAAA
rnacentral:misc_RNA from 1 species